UACGUAGGUGGCAAGCGUUGUCCGGAUUUACUGGGUGUAAAGGGCGUGUAGCCGGGCUUACAAGUCAGAUGUGAAAUCCGGGGGCUCAACCCCCGAACUGCAUUUGAAACUGUAGGUCUUGAGUAUCGGAGAGGCAGGCGGAAUUCCUAGUGUAGCGGUGAAAUGCGUAGAUAUUAGGAGGAACACCGGCGGCGAAGGCGGCUUACUGGACUGUAACUGACGUUGAGGCUCGAAAGCGUGGGGAGCAAACAGG
rnacentral:rRNA from 1 species